UAAGCAUCUCACUAAGAGAGUGAGAAAUUAAAGGAGUUAGCAUAGAGAGUGUGUUAUGUUUUGUGCUAUUUAAGAAGCACUUACUAUAUGAUCACUCACAUAUGUCUCAACCUACAAUCAAUAUAUACAUGUCAUGCAUAUGAUCAACCUUAUUAUAAUUAAUACAAAAAAUUUCAUUUAGCUACUUCUAGCUUAAUUCCUUAUUAUCACAUUUCAUAUCUCAUCACUUUCAACUAAAACAAUUCUUUCACCUUUGAAUCAUGACUGCAGCAGCACAUAUUGCUCGAACAGUUGUUGGAAUUAUAGGUUGGUCAAGUUUCUUUCACUAAGCAUAUAUGUGUCUAUAUAAUUUUAUUUUGUUUUUUUAUUUUUAUUUUUUCAUUCUUAUGGAUCUCUCUUUUCUUCACAAUUUUCAUAACUUCAGGAAAUAUAAUCUCAGGCUUCUUGUUCUUGUCCCCAGUGUAAGCUUCAUCUCACUCUCAUCCUUUUUCUAAUUAGCA
rnacentral:lncRNA from 1 species